UACGGGGGGAACGAGUGUUAUUCGUAAUGAUUGGGCGUAAAGGGCGCGUAGACGGAUUUUUAAGUUUAGAAUGCGACUAAUUAUUUAGUUGUUUCAGUAUACUGAAGUCUAGAAUUAUAUAGAGGUUGGUGGAAUUUUGCAAGUAGGGGUGAAAUGCGGUACUUACAGGAGACCAUCAACAGGCGGAGGCGACCAACCAUAUAUAAUUGACGUUGAGGCGCAAAAGCGUAGGGAGCAAACAGG
rnacentral:rRNA from 1 species